rnacentral:rRNA from 1 species
AUGGAGGCAUCGUCUUGCUUCCGCUACCAAGUCUGGGGUUUUGGUUUGUCCUGGAUAUGGCUAUGUCUUCUUUUACUGCAUCUCCUUCAGAACUGCAGCCUGGUGCUCUCAGACUCUCCUUAUCUGGUCGGCAUGGGGAGCUAUGACAUAACAGGGCCUGCGGCAGAUGUUAACAUGAUGGGAUAUGCAAAUGCGGAGCAGGUUACAUCAGGGAUUCACUUCAGGCUAAAGUCACGCGCGUUUAUUGUCGCCGAGCCUGAUGAUGGAAAGCGUGUUGUCUUUGUGAAUCUCGACGCUUGUAUGGCAUCACAGCUUGUGAAUAUCAAGGUGCUCGAAAGGCUAAAAGCAAGGUACGGUGAUCUUUAUAAUGAGAAUAACGUGGCUAUCAGUGGCAUCCAUACCCAUGCUGGGCCUGGAGGUUAUCUGCAGUAUGUUGUCUAUAUUAUCACAUCACUUGGGUUUGUUCGUCAGUCAUUCGAUGUAAUUGUCGAUGGCAUUGAGCAAAGCAUUGUUGAAGCUCAUAACAAUCUCCGUCCUGGGAAAAUCUAUGUGAAUAAAGGUGACCUUCUGGAUGCUGGUGUGAAUCGCAGCCCGAGUGGGUAUCUGAAUAACCCUGCUGAAGAGAGAAGCAAAUAUAGAUACAAUGUUGAUAAAGAAAUGACCCUUGUUAAGUUUGUAGAUGAUGAAUUCGGUCCAAUUGGAAGUUUUAAUUGGUUUGCGACUCACGGAACAUCAAUGAGUCGUACAAAUUCUUUGAUAAGCGGUGAUAACAAAGGAGCAGCUGCACGUUUCAUGGAAGACUGGGCUGAACAAAAUGGCCUUCCUAAGCAGACAGGUCAUGCAAAUUCUGUUGAAUUUGGACCUUUGCACCUUCCGAGAAGAGUCUCUACAAUAAUACCAGAACCAGAUGAGAUAACUGAUGACUUAAUGCAAUUAGCAUCAUCCUACAAGGCCACAGGUGGCAGAAUAUUGGCAAGUUCAAAUAUCACUAGGCGCAUUAGAAACACUCGAGGAAACAAUGCCAAGUUUGUUUCCGCAUUUUGCCAGUCAAACUGUGGAGAUGUUAGUCCAAAUGUCUUGGGAGCAUUUUGCAUAGACACCAACCUUCCUUGUGACUUCAACCACAGCACAUGUAAUGGGAAGAACGAACUUUGCUAUGGACGAGGCCCAGGGUAUCCUAAUGAGUUCGAGAGUACCCGCAUAAUUGGGAAUAGGCAAUUUCUGAAGGCUGUAGAUCUCUUUAAUUCGGCUUCGGAAGAACUACAAGGAAAAUUUGACUAUCGUCACACUUACUUAGAUUUCUCGCAACUCGAAGUUAGUGUUUCUACGAGUACGGGAGGUCAGCAGGUGGUGAAAACAUGCCCAGCAGCCAUGGGGUUUUCAUUUGCUGCUGGAACCACAGAUGGCCCUGGAGCUUUUGAUUUCAAACAAGGAGACGACAAGGGAAACCCUUUCUGGAAAUUAGUGGGGGGCAUACUAAAGAAACCAGGGAAAGAGCAAGUCAAGUGCCAAGCUCCAAAACCAAUAUUGCUAGACACUGGUGAAAUAAAGGAACCAUAUGAUUGGGCGCCUACGAUACUUCCCAUUCAGAUCAUAAGAAUUGGUCAGCUGGUUAUUUUGUCUGUUCCUGGAGAAUUCACGACAAUGGCCGGCAGGCGGUUACGCGAUGCUGUAAAAAAUGUACUGAUAAGUGGCAGCAAUGGUGAAUUUAAUUCCAACACUCACAUUGUUCUUGCGGGGCUGACAAACACAUAUUCUCAGUAUGUUACAACAUUCGAAGAAUACCAGGUCCAAAGAUACGAGGGUGCAUCAACUUUGUACGGUCCGCACACCUUGAGUGCAUACAUUCAAGAGUUUCAGAAACUUGCCACAGCUAUGGUUGCAAACAAGGAGAUCCCAGCAACAAACAUCCUACCUCCUGACAUGUUGGACAAACAAAUCGGACUGCUGCCAGGCGUCAUUCUCGACUCGACUCCUCCUGGUGUUCACUUUGGGGAUGUCAGCUCUGACGUCGCAGCAAACUCAGACUUCCUGAAGGGCAGUACCGUGAAUGCUACGUUCCAUUCGGCCUGUCCAAGGAAUGAUCUUCUAACCAACGGUACCUUCGCGCUCGUUGAGAGGCUGAAUGGCGACAACUGGAUUCCUGUCUACGAUGACGACGAUUGGUCUUUGCGAUUCAAGUGGUCGAGGCCAUCGAAACUCAGUCCGGAGAGCUUUGCGACGCUGGAGUGGACCAUUCCUGAAGAUGCUGCCCCUGGUGUUUAUAGGCUGCGGCAUUUCGGUGCCUCCAAGCCGCUGAUAGGGUCGAUCGAGCAUUUUACAGGCACCUCUCGAGCGUUUGCAGUGCGUUAA